CCUACGGGGGGCUGCAGUCGAGAAUCUUCCGCAAUGGGCGCAAGCCUGACGGAGCGAUGCCGCGUGAGGGAUGACGGCCUUCGGGUUGUAAACCUCUGUCAUCCGGGACGAAAACAAUGACGGUACCGGAAAAGGAAGCCACGGCUAACCACGUGCCAGCAGCCGCGGUAACACGUGGGUGGCGAGCGUUAUUCGGAUUUACUGGGCGUAAAGGGUCCGCAGGGGGCCUGCCACGCCUGCCGUGAAAUUCCAAGGCUCAACCUUGGACCUGCGGCGGGUACGGGCGGGCUAGAGUGCAAGAAGGGCAGACGGAAUUCCAGGUGUAGCGGUGGAAUGCGUAGAUAUCUGGAAGAACACCGAUGGCGAAGGCGGUCUGCUGGCUUGUAACUGACCCUCAGGGACGAGAGCGUGGGUAGCAAACAGGCUUAGAUACCCCGGUAGUC
rnacentral:rRNA from 1 species